GGAGAUAACAGCAGAGAUACACCAGCUACAUAUAACGGGAUAUCUGAUUUAACCGUGUUGCUAAUGGAAAAAUACACCACGAGCACGGAGCAUGUCUUCACUGUUAGUUUCGGAUGCCUUAAGGUCACACUUGGUCUCUGGUGAACAGAACCCCCAGUUAUUUAACUCCAAUGCCUAAAAACCAAGACACAACCGAAACAAAAAGAAAACAAAUUAAAACGAGAUAAUCAGCUUCGUGCGCAAUAGUGUUGUUUGGCAGCGCCUGCAGAGGGCAGCAGUGGUCCCGGGAGCUGGGAGUCGAGUGCCAGUUCUCGCGUCAGACACAACAAACUCGCACCUUUGGAGACUGCGGCCGAGAACACAGGCGUCAUGAACCCUGGGCAUUCAGAAAUCACAUACGACGAACUGUCAAACAACCUGAAGGACGUCACGGUGAUCGACGUCAGGAAUCGCAUCGAAAUGGAACAGAAUGGACAGAUUCCCGGAUCGCACUGCAUUCCCGGUGUGUAUGCCUUGGUGGUCAGUCCCUCUCUUUUACCACUACUACUACUGCUACUGCUACUACUACUACA